AGUGAACGCUGGCGGUAGGCCUAACACAUGCAAGUCGAACGGCAGCACAGUAAGAGCUUGCUCUUACGGGUGGCGAGUGGCGGACGGGUGAGAAAUACAUCGGAAUCUACUUUUUCUGGGGGGAUAACGUAGGGAAACAUACGCUAAUACCGCAUACGACCUACGGGUGAAAGCAGGGGAUCUUCGGACCUUGCGCGAUUGAAUGAGCCGAUGUCGGAUUAGCUAGUUGGCGGGGUAAAGGCCCACCAAGGCGACGAUCCGUAGCUGGUCUGAGAGGAUGAUCAGCCACACUGGAACUGAGACACGGUCCAGACUCCUACGGGAGGCAGCAGUGGGGAAUAUUGGACAAUGGGCGAAAGCCUGAUCCAGCCAUGCCGCGUGGGUGAAGAAGGUCUUCGGGUUGUAAAGCCCUUUUGUUGGGAAAGAAAAGCAGCAGGUUAAUACCCCGCUGUUCUGACGGUACCCAAAGAAUAAGCACCGGCUAACUUCGUG
rnacentral:rRNA from 1 species